rnacentral:sRNA from 1 species
CUUGGUCAUUUAGAGGAAGUAAAAGUCGUAACAAGGUUUCCGUAGGUGAACCUGCGGAAGGAUCAUUACAAGUGAGGCUACCGAACGUUGGAAACAGCGGUUAGGAGCUUACACCCACCCGUGUUUACAUACUAUUGUUGCUUUGGCGGGCCGUGGCCUCCACUGCGGGCUCUGCUCGUGUGUGCCCGCCAGAGAACCAAACUCUGAAUGUUAGUGAUGUCUGAGUACUAUCUAAUAGUUAAAACUUUCAACAACGGAUCUCUUGGUUCUGGCAUCGAUGAAGAACGCAGCGAAAUGCGAUAAGUAAUGUGAAUUGCAGAAUUCAGUGAAUCAUCGAAUCUUUGAACGCACAUUGCGCCCUGUGGUAUUCCGCAGGGCAUGCCUGUUCGAGCGUCAUUUAACCACUCACGCCUAGCGUGGUAUUGGGGCACGCGGUCUCCGCGGCCCUCAAAAUGAGUGGCGGCGCCGGUGGGCUCUAAGCGUAGUACAUACUCCCGCUAUAGAGUUCCCCCGGUGGCUCGCCAGAACCCCCAAUUUUUACAGGUUGACCUCGGAUCAGGUAGGGAUACCCGCUGAACUUAAGCAUAUCAAUAAGCGGAGGAA